CUUUGCAGAAGCCUGUAGGGUGUUCACCAACAAACUGUUUUUCCCUGUCAAAUCCCAGCAAAAGGACUAUGUUGUGUGUGCAAAUGGGAAGGAGAGAGAGUGAAAAAAGGUGUCCUGGGGAUUGGUUCCCAUCGGAGCUACAAACUGGAACUCUAAGACCCACAGCUCCUGCCUCCAGAGCCUGCUUCCCACGGGACCGCUGGAAAGCCACCAUGCUGUCACCGGAGGGCAGCACCCUCAGAAUCACCCCUCCACCCCAGCUGCCAGCCAGGCCCUGGGGGCCAGCUGUGCCUCUGACUGUUCAUCUGCUCCCGUGAAGUUCAUGACCCCUUGGCUACCCUGCCGGAGAACACAGAGGGAAGCCCACACACAGAGGCUACCUAGACUGGUAAUGGUUACAGCCUGACUCCCCAUUGGGUGAAGCUGGGAAUAAACUGGGGAUGUGGCUGCUCCCUCA
rnacentral:lncRNA from 1 species